rnacentral:rRNA from 1 species
CCUCGGGAGGCUGCAGUGGGGAAUAUUGGACAAUGGGCGAAAGCCUGAUCCAGCCAUGCCGCGUGUGUGAAGAAGGCCUUCGGGUUGGAAAGCACUUUCAGUGGGGAAGAAAGCCUUGGGGCUAAUACCCUCGAGGAAGGACAUCACCCACAGAAGAAGCACCGGCUAACUCCGUGCCAGCAGCCGCGGUAAUACGGAGGGUGCGAGCGUUAAUCGGAAUUACUGGGCGUAAAGCGCGCGUAGGCGGUCUGAUAAGCCGGUUGUGAAAGCCCCGGGCUCAACCUGGGAACGGCAUCCGGAACUGUCAGGCUAGAGUGCAGGAGAGGAAGGUAGAAUUCCCGGUGUAGCGGUGAAAUGCGUAGAGAUCGGGAGGAAUACCAGUGGCGAAGGCGGUCUUCUGGACUGACACUGACGCUGAGGUGCGAAAGCGUGGGUAGCAAACAGGAUUAGAUACCCCUGUAGUC